rnacentral:tRNA from 3 species
GCGCCGCUAGCUCAAUGGCAGAGCAGCGGACUCUUAAUCCGCGGGUUCGGGGUUCGAGUCCCUGGCGGCGCA